rnacentral:rRNA from 1 species
GAAGAUGAGACGCUAGUUUUGUUGGAGUCGUCCUUGAAAUACCACCCUUGUAGUUUUGAUGUUCUAACGUUGGCCCCUGAAUCGGGGUUACGGACAGUGCCUGGUGGGUAGUUUGACUGGGGCGGUCUCCUCCCAAAGAGUAACGGAGGAGCACGAAGGUUGGCUAAGUACGGUCGGACAUCGUACGGUUAGUGUAAUGGUAGAAGCCAGCUUAACUGCGAGACAGACACGUCGAGCAGGUACGAAAGUAGGUCAUAGUGAUCCGGUGGUUCUGAAUGGAAGGGCCAUCGCUCAACGGAUAAAAGGUACUCCGGGGAUAACAGGCUGAUACCGCCCAAGAGUUCAUAUCGACGGCGGUGUUUGGCACCUCGAUGUCGGCUCAUCACAUCCUGGGGCUGAAGUCGGUCCCAAGGGUAUGGCUGUUCGCCAUUUAAAGUGGUACGCGAGCUGGGUUUAGAACGUCGUGAGACAGUUCGGUCCCUAUCUGCCGUGGGCGUUUGAGAAUUGAGAGGGGUUGCUCCUAGUACGAGAGGACCGGAGUGAACGAACCGCUGGUGUUCGGGUUGUCAUGCCAAUGGCAUUGCCCGGUAGCUACGUUCGGAACUGAUAAGCGCUGAAAGCAUCUAAGCGCGAAGCAGGCCUCGAGAUGAGUUCUCACUAGACUUUUAAAGUCUCUGAAGGGCCGUUGAAGACUACAACGUUGAUAGGCAAGAUGUGGAAGCAUAGUGAUAUGUUAAGCUAACUUGUACUAAUUACCCGUGAGGCUUAACCAUACAACGCCAAACGCGUUU